rnacentral:tRNA from 1 species
GCGUUAUUGGUGUAGAGGUAGCACAAAAGCCUUCCAAGCUUUUGGCAUCAGUUCGAUUCUGAUAUAACGCUCCA